rnacentral:lncRNA from 1 species
CUACUAUGACGUCACAGGCGGCCAGAUGGCUGCGUGGUAACGCAAAUGCGUUCGGAGGUCCCAGAUCCGGCAUCCCACCAAAACAAUUUUUUCGGGAUUCCGGGCGCCGGCUGGCGGUCCCUAGUCUUUACUAUCUGGUCCCCCUCCGAGGAUGCGAGUGCAGUCUGUGGUUGGAACUAAUUCCGCCCCUUAGUAAUCUCAUUGAUAGGCAAAGGGCGUAAAAACAGUAAAACAAAUCAAAUAAAAAAACAGUGACAUUGCAUCACGUGAUCAUAAUAGUGCUGAUAUGUUCGGCAGCUAUGAACUUC